UGAGAGUAGGACAGAGUCACUAAUUAUCAUGACCUGAAAGCUCUCUCUCUCAUUCUGGCCAGGUCUGCAUCCAGCCUGGGAAGGGAAGGCUCAGAUCCCGGCCUCCCUCUCUGAGGUCCCUCUCCUUCCCCAGCCCAGCUGGCAGAGAACCGAAUCCUGGAACCAGAGACAUGGCCCCUGGCAGCCGGAGCCCCUUUUCCCAGGUCUGCAUCCAGCCUGGGAAGGGAAGGCUCAGAUCCCGGCCUCCCUCUCUGAGGUCCCUCUCCUUCCCCAGCCCAGCUGGCAGAGAACCCAAUCCUGGAACCAGAGACAUGGCCCCUGGCAGCCGGAGCCCCUUUUCCCAGGUGUGGCAGGCUCUCCUCCUUUGCUUCCCCACUGAAACCAAGACUCUGGAAGGCCUCCAAAAAACUAGCCCAGCCCCAAGUGAAGGAGAGAGAACUUUGAAAGAUGUAAUAAAGGAUUUGGACUUUAACACCUGGUUGCAUUUGUGGUCAUUACUGAACUGAAAUGAAGGCUGCCUCCAGGGACCCCGAGAAAACCUCAGCAGAGAACAUUACAUUUUAGAGAGAAUAUUACACCUUCUUGUACAGCUCCUUCUGAGAAAGUUCCAAGAAUCCCCACUCCUCCUCAGUGAAGUCCACCAUCAUCAAAUCCUUGAAGGUCACCAACUUCUAAACCAUUAAAAGGCAUAAGAUUUUGAGCUGAGACUCCAGAAUGUAUCUAGUCCAACCUUUAUUAAGGAGGAAACUGAACCAGAGUUGGGAUUUCUCUUAAAAAAAAAAAAAAUCACAUGACCUUUAUGACUCACAGCCAACACUUUCUAACCAAGCAUUAAGGGCCCAAUGGGAUCCUGAGAAAGCCUUUUCUGUUUGAAGAUUGGAAUACUAAAAGCCUGUAAAGGUUUCUUACUAUAUAAUGCCUAUCCUGAAGAAAGGAAGGAAAAUGUUGGUGACAUAUCAGUUAGGUAAAAAAAUGUGUUUAAGAGAAAGAAGGGGAGGGGAAAUUCCUCCCCAUCAGAAGUGUCUUAAGUGACAUAUUAAGGAAAUUCCAUGAAGAGUUUGUGAGAAGUUGACAAGGAUUUUAUAUUCUGAGUCAACAAAACCUGAAAAUGGAUCACUGAGAAAAGAAGAAACCAAAAAAAAAAAAAAAUCGGUAAAUUUCCUGAAAUUCUGAAAUAUUCUCAUUUAGAUGAAAGCAAGAGAAGUACCCUAGAGAUAUAUUGCUCGCAAUAUGUCCACGAUGGAGUAGUAUGAGACUGCUUGCAGCCAAGUAAAGCAGUAUUCUCUACUGUUACCCUGAAAGGCUGAGAUGACACUGGGCAGGAUGCGUCAUGGUCAAAAGCAUCUGCUAUCUUUAUUUUAUGAUCGCCUUCACUUGUUUGUGGAAUGGAUUCAGUCACUGCAAUAAUGAAUUAUUGAAAAUGAAGAGUAACUCUGAGGGGAAAGGAGAAUUUCCUUCCUGACUUAAAAUGUCAUAUUUUAUCAUUUGGAGUUGGUGAUGGA